rnacentral:tRNA from 1 species
GUCUUCGUGGUGUAAUUGAAAGCACACCCGGCUGGCAGUCGGGAGGUUGUGGUUCGAAUCCCGACGAGGCCG